GCCCCUGUAGUCUAGUGGCCAAGGACACGGCCUUUUCACGGCCGUAACCCGGGUUCAAAUCCCGGCAGGGGCA
rnacentral:tRNA from 1 species